ACUACUGCUAUCACUACUGAUCAUUUUUGUAUUAUUUUAAUCAUAACUUUUCAGUAUAAAAAAAUUAUACAAAACUUUACAUGAGGCCUCAUUUGCACGUGGUCAUCUAAAGUACAUAAUAUUUGCGAAACCGAAUAGCAUAAUUUUUUGGUGUAAUGUGCAGCAUCACCUGCAUCUCGAACUGCAACUCCCAGCAUACCUCUACAAAGGAAGGAGACAGCCACAGGCUCCAGACCCCGAUAUAACAUAGGAAACAGCGUCCUUGGAUCUGGUAUACGCUGGCCAGGGUAAUGCAUAUGUAGGUAAAGGUCACUAAGGGCUGUAUUACACUGACAGAUGAGCCUUACAAUUGUCGGGAAGGAAUCUCCUGCUCGUCAGAGUCGGAGAUCCCAAGUCACCUUCACAGAUAUAGAUGUAAAAGAUUGUAGGGCGGUGAAGGUGCCCCCUUCCUUGCCUGUGUAGAAGGAGGAUAGCAGCCAUCAUGGUUGCAACGGGACGUGUAGAUGUUCUCAGUUUACAGACUUUUAAUGUAUAUAUUUAUGGUACUUUGGUAAUUGCCUUGUGUGUGACUGUGCCCAACCAGCAUGGCACUGGGGAAGUCUGGCAUAAUGACUACCUGGGUGGAUUCUAGGCCCAGCAGAGCUGAGAGAAGAAACCUCUGAAGAGACUCAUAGGCACAUAUUAUGGAGACACUGCUGGAAAAGAUAUUGAUGCAGAGACAGAGUAUGCUGCUUCUGCUGCUGAGGAGCAAGAACAUAAGACGGGAGAGCGACCACUGCUCCAUCACCUGUGAUAUUGUUUGUGACAUGAUGACGAGAAUGCUCAUUCUGUAGGAAGUC